CCCCUAGUAACUGCGAGUGAAGCGGGAUGAGCUCAAAUUUAAAAUCUGGCGUGCCUCUGGUCGCCCGAGUUGUAGUCUGGAGAAGCGUCUUCCGUGUUGGACCGUGUAUAAGUCUCUUGGAACAGGGCGUCAUAGAGGGUGAGAAUCCCGUCUUUGACACGGACUACCAAUGCUUUGUGAUGCGCUCUCAAAGAGUCGAGUUGUUUGGGAAUGCAGCUCAAAAUGGGUGGUAAAUUCCAUCUAAAGCUAAAUAUAGGCGAGAGACCGAUAGCGAACAAGUACCGUGAGGGAAAGAUGAAAAGCACUUUGGAAAGAGAGUUAAACAGUACGUGAAAUUGCUGAAAGGGAAACGCUUGAAGUCAGUCAUGUCUGCCAGGACUCAGCCUUGCUUCUGCUUGGUGUACUUUCUGGUUUGAUGGGCCAACAUCAAUUUUGACCAUUGGAGAAAGGCUUUGGGAAUGUGGCACCUUCGGGUGUGUUAUAGCCCUUUGUCAUAUACAGUGGUUGGGAUUGAGGACUGCAGCACGCCUUUAUGGCCGGGGUUCGCCUACGUACGUGCUUUGGAUGUUGGCAUAAUGGCUUUAAGCGACCCGUCUUGAAACACGGACCAAGGAGUCUAACAUGCCUGCGAGUGUUUGGGUGGAAAACCCAUGCGCGUAAUGAAAGUGAUAGCUGAGAUCCUCUCAUCAGGAGCACCAGCGCCUGGACUUGAUCUACGGAGACAGUUCUACGGUAGAGCAUGUAUGUUGGGACCCGAAAGAUGGUGAACUAUGCCUGAAUAGGGUGAAGCCAGAGGAAACUCUGGUGGAGGCUCGUAGCGAUUCUGACGUGCAAAUCGAUCGUCAAAUUUGGGUAUAGGGGCGAAAGA
rnacentral:rRNA from 1 species